GGCGCUAUGCCGGGUGUAGUGGCAGUACAUUGGAUUUGAUUACGUAAUUCCAACAACCCAGGUUCGAACCCUAGUAGUGCCU